GUGAGGCCUCCUGCCCUCGAGCGCCCCACGACUCGCACAGCAGGUCGUGAGACGCCACCCUCCAUCCCCUCGCCCCAGAUCCAUCCCUUCGCCACCGCCAGUUCGUCCCUUCGCCGCCCGCCGUUCCAUCCCUCCGCCGCCGAUCCAUCCCUUCGCCGUCGCCCCGCACAUCGAAGCCGCCGCCCUCCAUCGGACGAACGAGCCCGCCUCAAACGCCGAUGAGAAUAAUGCUCCCCUCGAUCUAUUCGCUGUGUUGAGGGGAACCACGCCCCAGCCGCCAUUGCGGAUCUCUUCGACGCCGCUGAGGCCCUACGGGAGCCACCGACGCCUUCAUUGCGGUGCUCUAGGUCGCCGCCGUCGUGGUCCACAAUCCCCGCCGCCGAGGUCCGUAGUCGCCGCCGUCGAGGUCCGAGAGGUGUCGCCGCCACCUUCAUUCCGGACCUGGAGGUCUGCGCCAAUCCCCAGGCCAGGGCGGUUCGUACCCCAGUCCCCAGGGCAAGGCGGUUCAAACCCCAGUCAGAGAGAGCUAGGUAUGUGAAUUUGCAUGUUGAUACAACCAUUAAUCCCAGUCAGAGCGGCGCUAGGUACUUGCACGCAGACACAUGUUUCCAUCCGCCUUCAUUAUGUGAAUUUGCAUGUUGAUACAGCCAUUAACCAUGGUACAUACAUCUGUUAAGAUCCCGUGCGUGGCUACGGGUAUAAUGAAUGCAACGGGCACAGCGGUUCCAUGCUGGAUCAUGGUGAUGAUGCAGUCGACUCAGCGGGGGAUAGGAGGCUCGCCGGCUGGCGUUUCAUUGAUGCAUGGGUGUUCCAAUCAUGAUGGUACUGUCGGAUAAUGUACAAGACUUUUUUAGAACAAUGUACAAGACUUUGGACGAGGUUCAUCUGCGUCGAUGUUUGUGGCUGGGUCGCUGGGUACACAAUCCAUUCACCGUGUAAG
rnacentral:rRNA from 1 species